GAGGAGCAAAGGUAUGACCCGGAAGCAGACACGACGCGGAAGUUGAAACCUGAAAGUCUUCACGAGAAUUCAAACUCCAGAGAGCCGGCCUGGGUGCUGAAGACAAGGAGAAGAGCUGACAUUUAAACGCCUAAUUUAUUGAGUGAGAGCGAGAGAGAGAGAGAACAACAGCGGAUAACACCGAGGCCAUAUUUCCCAAAGGCACGUCACAAGGAAGUAGCGACAGCUCAGACGAAGGCUGAAGUGACCGUCGAAACUGUUAGCUCGUGUGCGUGCGUCGUUUACGUCCAGGUGGUCCGGCCGAACCCGCGUGAUUAGCAGCAAGUGACGCUAAUGGCAAACCCCUUCCAAAUGGUCGCCAAUGCCACCCCCAAAACAACGCCGAAGACCGUUGCUUCAAGAAAAAUACGGACUGUUCAAUAUUGAUUGACUGGAGUCAAACCGGCGUGUUUAGUUUGCGGCGAGUCGUCCGCCGUCUCGAAGGACGAUAACGCGAGUGGACGUGACGAGACGCAGCGUGCGGGAAAAUGCAGACAAUUGACUGAGGCUGGGAGGGCGCAGCUCGAAAAACAACAUGGCUAUUUUUCACCAAGCAGCAACCAGGACCGGCUGUGUGAUAUCGCGAAGAACGCCGAGUCAUUUUCGGAGGGGGGGGGGGACCUCGACAAAC